rnacentral:rRNA from 1 species
GACGAACGCUGGCGGCGUGCUUAACACAUGCAAGUCGAACGGUAAGGCCCCUUCGGGGGUACACGAGUGGCGAACGGGUGAGUAACACGUGAGUAACCUGCCCUUGACUCUGGGAUAACAUUUGGAAACAGAUGCUAAUACCGGAUAUCAACUCUUGAGGCAUCUCGAGAGUUUGAAAGCUCCGGCGGUCAUGGAUGGACUCGCGGCCUAUCAGCUUGUUGGUGAGGUAACGGCUCACCAAGGCUAUGACGGGUAGUCGGCCUGAGAGGGCGACCGGCCACAUUGGGACUGAGAUACGGCCCAAACUCCUACGGGAGGCAGCAGUGGGGAAUAUUGCACAAUGGGCGCAAGCCUGAUGCAGCAACGCCGCGUGCGGGAAGACGGCCUUCGGGUUGUAAACCGCUUUCAGCAGGGACGAAGCGAAAGUGACGGUACCUGCAAAAGAAGCACCGGCUAACUACGUGCCAGCAGCCGCGAAUAAAC